rnacentral:rRNA from 1 species
AACGAACGCUGGCGGCAGGCUUAACACAUGCAAGUCGAACGGAACCUUCGGGAAUAGUGGCUGACGCGUGAGUAACGCGUGGGAACGUACCCUUUGCUACGGAAUAACACAGGGAAACUUGAGCUAAUACCGUAUGUGCUCUACGGGGGCAAGAUUUAUCGGCAAAGGAUCGGCCCGCGUUGGAUUAGCCAGUUGGUGUGGUAAUGGCCUACCAAGGCGACGAUCCAUAGCUGGUCUGAGAGGAUGAUCAGCCACACUGGGACUGAGACACGGCCCAGACUCCUACGGGAGGGAGCAGUGGGGAAUAUUGGACAAUGGGCGCAAGCCUGAUCCAGCCAUGCCGCGUGAGUGAUGAAGGUCUUAGGAUUGUAAAGCUCGUUCACCGGUGAAGAUAAUGACGGUAGCCGGAGAAGAAGCCCCGGCUAACUUCGUG